rnacentral:tRNA from 1 species
GGGGACAUGGCGAAACUGGCAGUACGCGUCAGCCUUAAAAGCUGGUGUCUCAUGGACUUGUGGGUUCGAACCCCACUGUUCCCA